CUUAAAUCCUCUAUUCCCCUUAUUAAUUUUGUAGCUCGACUCUAUAUGCGGAGAAGCACCUUCUGUACUACCCGAAGUAACUCAUAGUAGGGAUGUGCAUGGGCAAAAAAUUUGGUUCGGCACUUCUGAAAUCCAGGACUUUGGCAAUUCAGCACUUUGGUUUCAGGACUUACCUUUGUUGGGAGUCCAGUAGGCAGAGAUUUGUGCUCACCCUUGCAGAUAUACACACUCCAAGGUGAUAAGGUUAGAAACCACCAGGACUGUGAAUCUGUGCGUGGGGGUUGUGCAUGAAAGGUGUUUCCAAUACGCAGUACAGACAAGGGAAAAUCCAGAAGAGUAGAAAGACACGGUUCCAAAAGUCAAGUUAGGUAUAAUCAAAGAAGAAAGGGUCACAAGCCAAGUCAGUCUUAGAAAACAGGAUACAACUAACUGACACUGCACUCAGGGAGAGGCAGUGUUUUAUACCUGGAGUAAUGAUCAAUCUGCCUCAGGUGUAGUUUGAUAGACAUGUAGGAGCCACUUGUGAACUCCAGCCCCCUAGUGCUGGAAACAAGGCAAGGCUUAACAUCAAGCUGAAGUGUGGUUCAGAGGCAAGAUAGCAGGAACAGGACACAUGAGGGCCACAGUUCAAAUCCCCUGUUGGGUGCUUCUGGGGUGACCGCGUCUCGCAAUUUGGUUUGGCACUUCAGCAAUCCCUACACCUACUAGGGGUGGUAGGAGUAGGGUUAGAGUUAGAGUUAGAUUCCGGUCAUCAUUCCCUUAGUUUUUCCCUCCCUCUCCUGUUCUGACACUUUUCAGAAAUCCGAAACACUUCGGCACUUCUGAAAGCAUCCGAAUGUCCAAAUUUAAAUUUGGACCGAAACGAAUUAUACAUGUCUAUAAGUGAUAAUGUCCAGCCACCCUUACA